ACUCAAAUGAAUUGACGGGGGCCCGCACAAGCGGUGGAUCAUGUGGUUUAAUUCGAAGCAACGCGAAAAACCUUACCUAGGCUUGACAUCCUCUGACCGCUGCAGAAAUGCAGUUUUCGUAGCAAUACGACAGAGAGACAGGUGCUGCAUGGCUGUCGUCAGCUCGUGUGGUGACAUGUUGGGUUAAGUCCCUUAACGAGCGCAACCCCUGCUAUUAGUUGCCACCAUUAAGUUGGGCACUCUAAUAGGACUGCCGUGGUUAACACGGAGGAAGGUGGGGAUGACGUCAAGUCCUCAUGGCCUUUAUGCCUAGGGCGACACACGUGAUACAAUGGACGGUACAAAGAGAAGCGAAUGGGUGACCACAAGCAAAUCUCAAAAAACCGUUCUCAGUUCGGAUUGAAGUCUGCAACUCGACUUCAUGAAGGUGGAAUCGCUAGUAAUCGCGGAUCAGCACGCCGCGGUGAAUACGUUCCCGGGCCUUGUACACACCGCCCGU
rnacentral:rRNA from 1 species